rnacentral:rRNA from 1 species
UUUUUUUUUUUAGUAUAUGAAAUUUUACUUUGAGAAAAUUAGAGUGCUUAAAGCAGGCAUAUGCCUUGAAUACUCCAGCAUGGAAUAAUAUUAAAGAUUUUUAUCUUUUUUAUUGGUUCUAAGAUAAGAAUAAUGAUUAAUAGGGACAGUUGGGGGCAUUUGUAUUUAGCAGUCAGAGGUGAAAUUCUUAGAUUUGUUAAAGACAAACUAAUGCGAAAGCAUUUGCCAAGGAUGUUUUCAUUAAUCAAGAACGAAAGUUAGGGGAU